AAUUUGAUAGAUCCACUGUACUGCGCUAACACGCGAGGUGGCGCUCGACAUAAUAAAAAUUGUGGACAAUGUCGGAAUCGUCAGUUCACAGUGUGCAGUUUGUAUCGGUUCUACGUGAAAAAAGCGCCAAAUUAUUUAAGGUUUUGGAGGAGCUCAAACAGCAUGGAAGAUGUUGAAAAUAUUCCAGGAGACCUAGGGAAUGAGUCGGUGGAUGCUUCGCAAGUGCAUAUCGUUAGCCAGAAGGAUAUCCAUGAUUUUUGGGAGCAUGUGUCAACUGGAGACCGCAUCAGUGAUGUCUGUACCACCUUUGAAUCUGAGAGUAAGCAGGUGAUUGAGAAGCUCUAUCAACAGUCUGCUUCCGUGGGAGAGCAAUUUGCAGUGGCCAAUUUCUUGUUGCAGAUUGGGGCACUCCAGUUCCGUGUUCAGAAGAAUCCAGAAGAUGAGAAUGAAUUGCAGACCAUCAUCAUUCUUCAAAAACCAGACACCAAUGAGGGCAAGGCAGAGGAAAAGGUUGAUACACAGGACACGGCAGAAGAUCCCAAUCAUAACAAAGACAAGGAAUGUCCUGAUAUAGGAGAGAAAGAGAAAGACAACCUGGCCUUGUGGGAUGGAGAUCCUCCACCUGUGGAAAAUGAAGAGGAACCCUUGGUACCACCACCACCACCACCACCAGAGGAGCAUGAGUGCAGCAUUUGCCAUGCUGUUCUGACCAGCUUAUGGGAACUUGACCUACAUGAACUGAACCGAUGCAGCAGUGAAACUCCUCCUCCUGGAAGACCUGCAAAGAAACAGAAGGAGCCUGAAAUAACCAGUGUGUCUUCUGAUGAGCAAGAUCCUGAUUUGAAAUCUCCGGCGAAAUCUCCUGUGCCAGAAAAAAAGAAACGCGGAAGACCUCGAAAGAAUGUCGUUUCCCCCACUGCUGAAGUUAUACCUCCACAGGAUGUACAAGGAAGUGCCAAGAGAAAGAGGGGCCGUCCUAGAAAAAGCGACACUUUUGUCACAGAGGAAGAAAGCGUGGUGAAAAAGAGGAGAGGACGGCCAUCCAAGAAGGACUCCAUAGAUCAAAAACAGGAAUCCAGUAAAAAAGAUGUAUUAGCAAACAAACAUCAUGAGGAGAGUCUGUCGAAACUAGAAAAACCACACACCAUCCAACUGCCAAAGCCUAAGUUGCAUACCCUUCACCUACGCCUGAAUAAGCUGCAAGAAACCAGAAGCAAGCGAAAAAGGAGACUGCCUCAGAAGCUUAGGGAGGUACUUGGGGAAGAGGAAAUGCCAGAGAAGGAAGUUAGAUCAGUUGUAGAACCUGAUGAUGCUGAUCUAGAAGUGGCUGAUCCAGAAGAGACUGGCACCGAAGAUGUUAGUCCAGAAGAAUAUGCUCCUGAGAAGGAUGAGGAAUCAGGGGAGGACCCAGUCGAGGAAGAUGAAAAGAAGGUAGAUGACAUCAAAGAUGGCCAAAAGAAGGAUGGUCAAGGAGAGGAAGACCAAGCAAAGAAUGAUGCCCCAGCAAGGGAUGAUGACCCAGUAAAAGGUGAUGUUUUGAACGAUGAUCAAGAAAUCAAGGAAGGGCUAGGUGAAGAGGAAGCUGGUCAUCCUUCAGAAGAGAAUGAAAUGGAAUCUGAAGUCCAAAAUGUUCCUUCUGGUAAUUUGAAGGAACAUAUGAAUGACGAUGACGUACAGGAAAUGCAUGGAGACGACGAUGAUUCAGAUAAAAGUGUAGAGAAGAUAUUUUCAUGCAGGACGUGUGGCAAAAGCUUCAGGCAAGUUGCUUCCUUUAGAGCGCAUCUUAUCAUGCAUCGCAACAAAGCCGCAAACUCCAAGUUUGAGAGCGAUGUAUUGCCCAAGGCAGACAGAAAAUCACAUCAGAAAAGAACUUUUCCCUGUGAAUUCUGUGACAAGGUAUUUUCAGAGAUGUACCAUUACAAGAGGCAUAAAAACAAUGUUCACACCAAAGAGGUGUCCUACCCAUGUACACUUUGUGACAGGGUUUUCUUUACGAAAAAUCGACUCAAAGACCACAUGGUGACACAUUCUGGUAAGAAGGACAUCGCUUGUGAUAUGUGUGAUUUGAAGUUCUUCCUACCUGGCCAACUGAAGAUACACAAGAAAACAGUCCAUGUAGAAGGGAAGCCAUACCUCUGUGACCUAUGUGGGUCUAGCUUCAAAGCCAAGGGAAUCUUAAAACAGCAUCAUCUAACCGUUCAUACAGACAUCAAGAAAUUCCCUUGCAGACAGUGCGGUAAGCCAUUUUCCCGCUCAUCCCUGCGCAACCAGCACGAGAAGGUCCAUUCAGGGCUGAAUCCCUAUCCAUGUGAGUACUGUGGUAAAGGUUUCCGAGACAAGUUUAAACUCAGAGUGCAUGUCAACUGGCAUUUGGGUAUCCACCCAUUUGCUUGUGACGUCUGUGGAAAGACCUUCCUUGUAAAAGGCAACCUCACCAAACACAUGCGCGUCCACACUGGAGAGCGUCCGUACGUCUGUCAGAAGUGUGGCCGAGGUUGUGUUGACUCCUCCCAGCUCAAGAAGCACAUGUCACAGGCUCACCAGAUCCAAGUUGACAGGAUACUCACUAAAGGUCCUGGACGCCCUGAUGGAGAUCUUCCAUCUACCCGACGGAAGAAAAAGCAGGACGACCCACUGGUCCCGCUCCCAGGGGGUUUAAGUGCAGAUGCAGAGGAGACCCAAGCAUAUACCAUUGCAACAGACGCAUUGAUUGAAAUUUCUCAACAGCUCGCCGAUAUGAGUAACGCUGUACAAGUUCCUAUGGGAAGUGGAGAUUUGGUGAUUGAUGCUAAGGCUAAUGAUGGACAAAUUCCAAUACACCAGCAAGGAGAGAACAGUGUUGUGCCUUCCCAUGUUACCAAUGUUGUGUCAACUACUGAAGCCUCAUCCGAUGCAGCUAUCAUUCCUGUAAUGAUUCAAGUUACAGAUCAGUCAAAUCAAGUCACAGUUCCUGUUACACAGAGCAUAGGUGACUUUCAAUCACUAGAGCUUAUUACUCUAUAAAUGUUAAAUGAAAUGUCACACUGAGCAUGAGUUACUUUCAAUCACUAGAGCUUGUCACUCUAUAAAUGUUAAAUGAAAUGUCGCACUGAGCAUGAGUUACUUUCAGUCACUAGAGCUUAUCACUCUAUAAAUGUUAAAUGAAAUGUCACAUUGAGCAUGAGUUACUUUCAAUCACUGGAGCUUGUCACUGUAUAAAUGAAGGGCUCACUUGCAAAAGGGGUUAGGUCCAUUUUUCGUUAAAUUUGAUUUUUUGUCUCAAUGUAUAGAUUUUUAGUAGCUCUAUAAGAUGAUACCAAAGAAAAGUUGAAAUUCCCAUUAAAAUGUUAUCUAAAAUGGCAAAGAAAAAUCACUUUUUUUUUUCAAAAGAGGUUAGGUCCAUUUCAGAUUUGUUGCAAAAGGGGUUAGGUCCAUUGUUCAUAAAUUUUAUUGUUUUCUGUCUCAAAACCUCUAGAUUUUUGGUCGUUCUGAUGAAAACAAAGAAAAAUUCACAUGAAAAUGUGAAUAAAAGUGGCAAAGAAAAUUCCCUUUUUAAUCAAAAUAGAUUGGAUUCAUUUCAGUUUAUUUGCAAAAGGGGUUAGGUCCACAAUGAUAAUUUUU